rnacentral:snRNA from 1 species
GUGCUCUCUUCAGCAGCAGGUACACUAAAAUUGGAAUGAUACAGCGAAGAUAGCAUGGCCCCUGUGCAAGGAUGAUGCACAAAUUCAUGAAGCGCUCCAUAUUUUG